UUAUAAACUAUAAUAUGUAAAACAGUGUUGGUGGAAAGUUUUUUUAAAAUCAAAUCAUCAUUGAUGAACAGCCCGGGGAUUCUCUUACGCGCCGACGUGUAGCACGCAUAAUCCGGUGGUAUAUUAGAGGUAUCUGUACGGUUCAUCAAGUUUGGGUUGCCCUCCAAGUCUCUGUAAAAGUCGUCCGUCGACACUCGAUACAGGUGGGAAUAUGUGAAGUGUAAUAAAAAUAAAACAUUUUUAUAUUAAGUGGUAUACACACCAGUGUCGAUGUACAGCAAAGUAAUCUUAUCAACAUAAUGACGUUUCAUGACGCUAUAGUAAUAAUCAUACAUGAGUGUCUUGCUCCACUCAAGGACUGCAAACUCGAUGCAAAUCGGUUUACAGAAAUCGAUCUCUUUGUUGUGCAUAGAUACUGAUGCAAGACUUUCACUAUAAGUGGUACACUGCUUAAACGUGGGACGGUUAGUGAGCUUUCGCAUCCUCUAGAGGCAUGAAACAAGCUUCAUAUCAAAACAAUUUCGGACAUAUUUCAUUGUUAUACCUUUUUAAUGGUAUUAAUCCUUAAAUCAUUUCACGAAAUUAAUAAUAAUAAUAAUAAUAAAACGCUAUUAUUUUGGGCUUUAAAAAAUUUUUCUUCAAACUCAUUCGUCACCCAUUUACGCAUCUCAGUGUUCAACGCGAUUUAUGGUGCCAACCAAAGAGAUUGUCUAAACUCUAAUACUCUGUACACCUGAAACGCAUGAAUAAUUUUUUGUAGAAAAAGAGUAAUGUAUAGUAUAUUAUAUAUAUAUAUAUAUUAUAAUUUAUAAUAAAUGUUACCUUAUCGACGAUCAGAUCGUUGGCGAUGGCCUGUUUUAGAUUUGAGUAAUGCACGACGUAGUAGUGCACUUUCCGCUCGAACGUAUCCAUCAACUUUCGGACGGUAGACCCGCGUGGAAUGCUGGUGUGUGGUAAGAACGGUAUAUCAUUGUGUUCGUCGUGCAGAUGACGCGGAUACGAAAUAUCGACUUCGUAGAAUCGUUCCACGUCAUCCGUAUCCGACAUCCACUCCAGCUGAGCCAACGCGAUGUUCGGAUUUCCCGCGUACCACGAGAAAUCACCGUACGGCAUAUUAAAUUUGCUCAUGGCCCAUCCGUAAAGAUUGUUGCCUUCGGAAAAAAUUAAUUAAUUAAUACACAUACAUAAUAUAUUAAUAUCAUUAAUAUUAUUGUAUAAUUACAAUCUUAAUAUACGAGCCACGUAUUCGGCUCUUCGGAUUUGUAUCCAGGCGUCUUCGGGUUAUUGGCCUCGACGUGACGCCCGUUCACCUGUACCAGCCCGCCUCGAAUUCCAAGCUCAAAAAAUAAUAUUUGAUCGUAAUCAGUUAGAAGUUCUAAUUUGACCGACUUGAAUUUCAGCAUACAGUCAAAACUGAACCCGGGCGCCGUAUAAUAAUACGCCGGGUCCAGCUGGUACGUCGACAUAAAUAUGUCGCGGAAAUGCUCAAACACGUCGGCGCUUAGCAGUACGUCGAUUUCGAGGUAUACAUCGCUAUAACCACCAAGAGUCUGACACUCAAAACGAUUCCAUACCAGGGUGUCAUGUUCAUAAUCGGCAUCACUCACGUGCGUCUCGGUCAACGCACUGUAGAGCUCCCUCCUUGCUGACAGCUCUGUCUCGCGUAAUUUUGAGUAGGAAUCCGUGUACUCAUACGCAAAAACGCCUUUGCGCGUCACCAGUGGCAUCUCCGUCGGAGUGAACACUUUUGCGACUUCGCGAAACUUGCAAAAGUCUGCGGUCGUAAAGUUCCGCGCCAAGUUAGCCGAAUUCGACGACAUGAACCGGCAUAUAUCGAUAAAUCUAACAGCGAACUCGUUAUUGAUAUAUUUCGAAUACGAAAUAUACUUUUCCUCGCUGUUAUGUAUCACCGAUAUCGUAUCGGUAGUUAUCAUACCCCAAUUCGGUAAUGAUGAAAUGAGCGUCGUAAUUCGACAGAUUAUGUAAAUAGCACGGGACGAACUUCGGCGUUCGUAAUUUAAGAUUGCACGCGCUACACAGAGUUUUAAGAAAACGACCGGACAGGUGAUCGUGAUGUGCGACCUUGUGGUUACUCGCGAUAAACGUUUUCGCGCACAAGUCACACGCAGCUUACCUCCGUGAGCGCGAGCAUCCUCAACAGACAUCGACAUCGGUACGUUGAUCGUCUUGAGCAAUUUACAUAUUCUGUCUGCCACAUCGGUGACGGUCAGGACAAAUCGUUUGGCCACAUCGUCGGCGAACUCAGAGCCGCGAAAAACGAUGGGGGCCCGCGGGAUAUCAAACUAUUCGAGCAGCUCCACCGGUACACCGUCCGCAGCUACCACCAAAAACCCGUAACUCAUCGGAUGAUGCGAGUGCAGCGUGGUGGUAUUGUUGCGUGCUAGUAUCAGAUUUAAAUCCAGAUGGUUAUUUUGAACGAAAGUUAAACUCAUUAGCGAAAUAUGUCUUUAUUGCGUAUAAAUGAAAUACAUGUAACAAACAAAAUAAGUGGCUGAGUGUCAUGAAAAUGCUCAGUUGUUGAUAGCUUUGGUACAUCUGCCGUUGCUGGUCUUCGGGCUCCCUUAUAUAUUGUGGUGCGUCUCUUGUUUACGUCAAGUCGUCGUCUUCUGGGUGAAACCAGGUGUCCUUGUAGUUGUUUUUUCAAAUUCGGACAAAAAUUUGAUAAUGUGCAAUAACAUCUCAAAUGCAUCAUUAGUGCACUAUAAUUAUUGGUGGGCUUAUUAUCCCGACAUGUGUCAUGGUCAUAGUAGCAUCUGCAUCAUCCUCGACACGAGGUAUGGUCAUACUAACUUAGCCUUGAUAUCUCGUAGAUAUCUCGUAGCCCAUAACAGUAUUUACUCCGUAGCGCUGCAUCGUUUUCGGCAGAAGAGCCUCGAAGUCGGCGUCCAAAACUUCUCAAAACAAAAAAAUUUACACAAUUCAGCUCAAAAUCGCGCAUUUAAAACUUCGGGCCGCGAAUUAUACGGGCACAGUAAUGUCGAACGUUUUUUAAUCACGAUUUCGCAGCGCUCCAGGCCGAAGAGGAUUGUUACGCCGGAAAGUAUAGUGAAUUUUCCUUAUCGUGUAUCGACGGACUGCUCUUGGGUGUGUACGAGUACACGCCUAUGGGGGGAUCGUCGUACUUACCGUUGCCGGAAAGUAUUUUGAAUAGGAAGGCCGUUGUCAACCCACAAAAUAUUGACCAGCAAUUUUUCAAGUGGGUGAUCCUCGCCAAACAUGUAUUUAACGAUCGCACAAGAGUAGGUACGAUUUAUUCGAGGGAAGAACACCGAUACGACUUUUCUGCACUAUCAACCCCCACUCCGGUGUCUGAGAUAAAGGUAUUUGAAAAUUCGAAUCCCGGCACGACCAUUAAUGUAUACGGCGUAAGAAAAUGCGUAAAAAAUAAAAAUAAAAAUAAUAAAAAGUCGUCCACACAAUCUGUCGCGUACCCUCUGCGAAUCGUGGAUGAAGAAAAGGAGAAUCAUUUUGACCUGCUACUGAUUACCGGAAAGGAUGACAAGAAUCAUUACGCGAUCAUUUCUAAUUUUUUACGCCUAGCCAGUUCUCAAAAAAAUAAUCACCAACAUCGAUUACUUUACUGCAAACGGUACUUCGCCAGUUUUGAGGACCGCCCAUUAAAAUAUAAAUUACACGGAGAGAAGGCACUGGCCAACCACCGUUUACUGUGCGGCUCACACAAACCGGUUGUUAGGAAGGAGACACGCUCAAAUUCGAGGCGUGGUGUAAAACGGGUCGCCUGCUGUUCGUGGUAUACGCUGACUUUGAAGCCCCACUACUGAAAACGGGGUGAAAACAAGGUGAAAAUACCACUGCGAUACACGAACACCAUCCAAUGAGCUACGGGUACCAUGUUGUCGCGGCAGAGGGGGUGCCGACAGAGUUGCUCGACCAGUUCAACAUACCUCGAGCUCCAGUCAUUUUCCGUGGUUUAGCUACUCAGGACGAUGUUGCCAAACGCUUUGUCAGCAACGUACUCGGCGUGAUCAAAAAGAUAGCAAGAUUAUAUAAGGAAGUAAAUGUACCGAUUAUUAUGAGUGUUGAGGAUUGUCACGUGUAUGACGUCAAGACAAUGUGUGAAUUAUGAAGUUGUACGUUUAGCGAACGCAAUUGUAAAACUGCACACCACGACCACUUUUCGGGACGUUUUCUAAAAACAUUAUGCAACACGUGCAACCUUGUGUUGAAAACACCGAAUUUUAUACUGUGCUAUCUGCAUAAUCUGUCCAACUACGACGCCGCCCAUUUUAUCGUGACGAAUUUGGCGUGCGACGGCGACAAUAAUCGAAUAUCGGUAAUAGCGAACACCGAGGAGAAAUAUAUUUCGCUCUCGAAGUAUAUUAACAACUCGUUCUCCGUCAGGUUUGUAGACACGUGUUGAUUCAUGACGUCGAGCUUGGCGCACUUGGCGGAGAACUUCAGCUCCGCGAACUUUGAUAAGUUUCGCGAAGUCGCGAAAGUGUUCGCCCCGUUGUCGUUGGUACACGGAAAGGCGUUUAUCCGUACGAAUAUACGGAUUCGUGGGAUAAAUUGGACGCUACGUACCGGAUAAGUUCCAAUUCUACAGCGCGUUGAUGGAGACGCACGUGAGCGACGAGGAUUAUAGUCACGCGACCAGGGUCUGGAAUCAUUUCGGCUGCACCUCACUCGGCGCUUAUAGCGAUUUAUACCUUAAAGUCGACGUGUUGUUAAGCGCUGACGUGUUCGAGAAUUUCAGGGAUAUAUGUAUGGCCACAUAUUACCUCGACCCCGCACAUUACUUCACGUUUUGACUGUAUGCUAUACUUUACGAAAGUUCAACUUGAACUUUUGAUCGAUUAUGAGAAAAUUCUCUUCAUAGGGUUAGGCAUGAGGGGUGGCCUGGUGCAGGCCAGCAAGCGUCACACGCGUGCCAACAAUCCUGAGACACCGGGAUACAAUACCGAAGAACCUGACACGUCGCUCAUAUACUUAGAUGCAAACAAUUUGUACGGGUACGCGAUGUGUCAGUAUAUGCCGAUUGGAGAUUUCGUAUGGUACACGGGGAAUCAGGAGGUCGCGCUGGCCCAGUUAGAUGCGCGCGAUGGACGAUGUGGGUAGAUUUUACGAAGUGGAUAUAAUAUACCCGGAGGAUCUACGCGACGCCCACAACGAUAUGCCGUUUUUGCCUCACGACAACAUUCCGCACGGGUUGACUGUCCGAAAGUUGAUGGUCACAUUUCUGCGGAAAGAACACUACGUGUACGAAACAACAUUACGGAGAUAAGAUCGAGCUGCUUUAUACCGAUACUAUUUACUAUUCUACCGCGUGAUGACCAACGAUUUCUUUGCUGACCUGAUAAAAAAUCCUAAUUUGAUGCGGUUUAUGGACACCUCAAAUUUCGCACACGAUCACAAGUGCUAUACAAAUGCUCGGAAGCGCAUUCCAGGACUUUUUGAAUUCGAGUGUGGCUCCAGAACCGUUUACGAAUUUGUAGCUUUGCGCUCCAAGUCUUAUGCGAACGACGUGGAAGAGGAGAUUACCAUUCGCGCGAAGGGUGUUAUGAGGCACGUGAAUCGUAAUCACCUCACUUUCGCCGACCAUAAGCGGUGCUUAUUCGUUGACGUGGACGACAAUACAGAAUCCAACGAGUGUGACAAUGAGUUCGACGCAAAUAUGGAGAAAAUGAGCGCACCCGAUUCCGCACUGAAAGCUGUCGCACAAGCUGUCGAUAUUGUUAUUAAAUAAUACAAACCUUAUAAAAUAUUUAAUAAAAUAUUUAUUUUUUUCAAAAACCAUCUCAUCUUAACGAGAAUAAUUAUACAUGUUAAAUGUAUAUAAUUAUAUUAUACGUCUCCUAAAUUCGUAUACACAAAUGCCGACUAUUAAAUAAUAAAACCUUAUAAAUAUAAAAUAUUUCACCAUCUCGUAUUUGCGAGGAUAAACCUUAUAAUAAUUAUUAAAUAAUAUAUUUUUUAAAACCAACUCAUUGCUUGGACAAAAUAAUUAUAUAACUUGUUAAAUGUAUAUAAUUAUAUUAUAUGUCCCUUAAAACUAUAGGAUCUAGAUAAAAUGAAAAUAAAAACAUAUUUUUAAUUUUUUUUUAUUAA